rnacentral:lncRNA from 1 species
GCACCUUGGGUUUUGCCUGAUCACUAGGUUCCCACCUGGGUUACACUGGGUGGGAUUCUGGCUUCCAUGUUUCCUCCAAUGUGUAGUUAUGACUAAGAUGUUCUGUCAACUGAAAAGGUGGUUCGAACCUCACUACUGACUUCACUUGGAUUCCUCGAAGAUCAAUUCUACUGGUUCUUUGGUCCUAAAGACAGCAGAACAGUGGAGUCACCCAUUCUGAAUGCUGUUUCGUUUCUGAGAACCACAACAGCAAGUCUUUCCUGGAUCUGCCGAUACACCUGCCUGAGAUAGACAGGAAGCCUCAGGAGACUAGGCCCUGAAUCUUCAUUCUUUUUAUCUGCAUCUCCAGCAGGGUCUGGU